rnacentral:tRNA from 1 species
UAGCGUAGCAAAAUCUGGUUUUGCUCAAGGCCUAAGCCCUUUCUAUAGAAGUUCAAAUCUUCUCACUAGCU